rnacentral:lncRNA from 1 species
CGCGCGGCCUCUGCCCACCGCGCCCGGGCCCGUUCUCCCGCAGCGGGCUCAGGCCAGGACCCCCGAAGUCCCCAGCCCGGGUCGGCCCCCGGAAGGGACGGGGCCGGGAACGGGGCUCCGGGGUCACGCCGAGCAAGGGGCCGCAUCUUCAGAGAAUUCCCAGGGAGGGCAGGGGGCGGGGAGGGCGCGAAUCUUCCUCACAGGAUUUCAGUCCAGCCGGAAACACGCCUUCCAAUCCCGGCCCCUGAAUUCAACCUCCGCCAGAGGGGGAGGUGGGUUGAGGGAGACCUUCGAGGGCAAGCGCCCCGCGCGCCCCUCUCAGUGGGAAGAGGGCUCCGGGAGGGGGCGGGCCCGCGCCGCCACGCUCCAGGCUGGGCCCAGAAAGAUGGAACCGGGCCGGCUGCCCGCAGUCCGGGGCGUUGGGGCGGGCGCGGCUGGACCUAUGGAGCUACGAGGAGGCAGCCGGGACCCCGCACCGCUGGCCUAGACCUGACAGGGCCGCGGCCCCCACGCCCCCGCCCCCUCCCAUCGUGCGGCUGCCUCCGAGGGGGGAUGGGGGAGAGGGCGCAGUCUUCCCGAGCGUGUGAGCCGCGCCUACUGGUACUGACCCCUCGGGCCCCCGCCGUUGCUCGCCCAGAUCCCUGGUCAGCCGGCCCCGACCCCGCUCUUCUGGCUCUGCCGCCGCCUCGGAGAGUCUCUGGCCCCUCUCGCUCUGUUUGUUUUUGUUUUCUUCUACCCAGUAACACGGGGGCGAGAGGGCGGCGCUUAUUGGCCGAGGCCGGGGUCGGCUGGCCAAUCGUGGCGGUGGAGCCGGAGCUGAGGCGGAAAAGGGAGAGGAGUGAAACGUGGAAAGUUGGGGAGGGGCGUGGAGGGCGCAUGCGCGUGUGGUUCCUGGGGCUGGCUGGACCGGGAGCGGAGCGGGAAGCCGGGGUGGGGGUAUGUUGGGAAGCGUGGCGAGAUGGGAGUGUCGGGAAAAGGGCAGUGCUGGGGAAUGGGAACGAGGAUGAAGCUGCCUAG